UCUCUCUCUCUCUCUCCGUGAGAUCCAAAGAAGGGAUGGAGCCAAUUUUCGUGCAGGCUAGGUAGGUCACAAUCUGCUUCCCACGCUAGAUAAACAAGAUGUGUUUUCUUGUUGCGAUUUCCAACUGAGAGCUUUGAAUCUCAACCUUUUGUUAUCUUUUCUUAAUGAGAUUUGAGCUUCCCUAUCUCUAGAUUGCAUUUUCUUUGCUAUUUUUGGGAGAUUUUGUUGAAUCUCAUAGAUCGGAACGAUCUAGGGUUAAGUUUUGGUGCUAUUUUUGGGAGAUUUUGCUGAGUCUCUGCUACUAACGAACAACUGUCAAAAAAUCCAUGUAGGAAGAAGGGGAUCUUAUUUUUUGCAAUCAACCUCAACAAACCUCUUUUAGAUCAAGGUCCUUUCGACAUUGUUUUACAUAAGGUACAGAUCGUUCAUCAGUUUAGAUAUUCAGAAAGGAUUUUUAUCAAGAGAUUCGACUAAGGAAUUGUAAGGACUGAAACUACAAAAUCUGUGGGUACUGUUGCUAAGAUGCAGUUAAAGAUCUGUGGAGGAUGCUGAUGUUGCUAUGCAACUAUGCAACAUGCUGAGAAAGAAACAUGAUUGGAAAAUGCUUGUUGUUUUUUAAAGUGUGACUUGCAUCCUAAUAUAGGCCACAUAUAAUCAGAAUCCUUCCUGUCCUCAGUGCAAGCAUUCGUUUUAGUUUCUCAGUGUUCAUCGAUCACUAGAUGGAAGCUCCCAUUGAAUCAGGAUAUCAUGGGGAAAGCGAGGGAUAGGGUGAGGAGUUGCUACCAUAAGGAUUUCGUCAUCGACGAAGAUAGCCAGUGGAUGCUUC